GAUGGGAGCUUGCUCCCUGAUGUUAGCGGCGGACGGGUGAGUAACACGUGGGUAACCUGCCUGUAAGACUGGGAUAACUCCGGGAAACCGGGGCUAAUACCGGAUGGUUGUUUGAACCGCAUGGUUCAAACAUAAAAGGUGGCUUCGGCUACCACUUACAGAUGGACCCGCGGCGCAUUAGCUAGUUGGUGAGGUAACGGCUCACCAAGGCAACGAUGCGUAGCCGACCUGAGAGGGUGAUCGGCCACACUGGGACUGAGACACGGCCCAGACUCCUACGGGAGGCAGCAGUAGGGAAUCUUCCGCAAUGGACGAAAGUCUGACGGAGCAACGCCGCGUGAGUGAUGAAGGUUUUCGGAUCGUAAAGCUCUGUUGUUAGGGAAGAACAAGUACCGUUCGAAUAGGGCGGUACCUUGACGGUACCUAACCAGAAAGCCACGGCUAACUACGUGCCAGCAGCCGCGGUAAUACGUAGGUGGCAAGCGUUGUCCGGAAUUAUUGGGCGUAAAGGGCUCGCAGGCGGUUUCUUAAGUCUGAUGUGAAAGCCCCCGGCUCAACCGGGGAGGGUCAUUGGAAACUGGGGAACUUGAGUGCAGAAGAGGAGAGUGGAAUUCCACGUGUAGCGGUGAAAUGCGUAGAGAUGUGGAGGAACACCAGUGGCGAAGGCGACUCUCUGGUCUGUAACUGACGCUGAGGAGCGAAAGCGUGGGGAGCGAACAGGAUUAGAUACCCUGGUAGUCCACGCCGUAAACGAUGAGUGCUAAGUGUUAGGGGGUUUCCGCCCCUUAGUGCUGCAGCUAACGCAUUAAGCACUCCGCCUGGGGAGUACGGUCGCAAGACUGAAACUCAAAGGAAUUGACGGGGGCCCGCACA
rnacentral:rRNA from 1 species